rnacentral:tRNA from 1 species
AAAAUUAUAGUCUAUAAUAAGAUAUUUAACUUGCAAUUAAAAGAAGCACCAGUUAAUUUUA